rnacentral:rRNA from 1 species
UACGUAGGGUGCAAGCGUUGUCCGGAAUUAUUGGGCGUAAAGAGCUCGUAGGCGGUUUGUUGCGUCGGCUGUGAAAUCCCGAGGCUCAACCUCGGGUCUGCAGUCGAUACGAGCAAACUAGAGUGUUGCAGGGGAGACUGGAAUUCCUGGUGUAGCGGUGAAAUGCGCAGAUAUCAGGAGGAACACCGAUGGCGAAGGCAGGUCUCUGGGCAUUAACUGACGCUGAGGAGCGAAAGCAUGGGGAGCGAGCAGG